rnacentral:rRNA from 1 species
UACGGAGGGUGCGAGCGUUGUCCGGAAUUAUUGGGCGUAAAGGGCUCGUAGGCGGUUGGUCACGUCGGGAGUGAAAACUCAGGGCUCAACCCUGAGCGUGCUUCCGAUACGGGCCGACUAGAGGUAUGCAGGGGAGAACGGAAUUCCUGGUGUAGCGGUGGAAUGCGCAGAUAUCAGGAGGAACACCGGUGGCGAAGGCGGUUCUCUGGGCAUUACCUGACGCUGAGGAGCGAAAGCAUGGGGAGCGAACAGG